rnacentral:rRNA from 1 species
GCCUACGGGGGGCAGCAGUGGGGAAUAUUGGACAAUGGGGGGAACCCUGAUCCAGCGACGCCGCGUGAGUGAAGAAGUAUUUCGGUACGUAAACUUCUAUCAGCAGGGAAGAAAAUGACGGUACCUGACCAAGAAGCCCCGGCUAACUACGUGCCAGCAGCCGCGGUAAUACGUAGGGGGCAAGCGUUAUCCGGAUUUACUGGGUGUAAAGGGAGCGUAGACGGCUGUGCAAGUCUGAUGUGAAAACCCGGGGCUCAACCCCGGGACUGCAUUGGAAACUGCAUGGCUGGAGUGUCGGAGAGGCA